GGCCGGUUAGCUCAGCUAGUUAGAGCGUGGUGCUAAUAACGCCAAGGUCGCGGGUUCGAUCCCCGUACUGGCCA
rnacentral:tRNA from 2 species